rnacentral:rRNA from 1 species
GAUGAACGCUGGCGGCGUGCCUAAUACAUGCAAGUCGAGCGAACAGACGAGGAGCUUGCUCCUCUGACGUUAGCGGCGGACGGGUGAGUAACACGUGGAUAACCUACCUAUAAGACUGGGAUAACUUCGGGAAACCGGAGCUAAUACCGGAUAAUAUAUUGAACCGCAUGGUUCAAUAGUGAAAGACGGUUUUGCUGUCACUUAUAGAUGGAUCCGAGCCGCAUUAGCUAGUUGGUAAGGUAACGGCUUACCAAGGCAACGAUGCGUAGCCGACCUGAGAGGGUGAUCGGCCACACGGGAACUGAGACACGGUCCAGACUCCUACGGGAGGCAGCAGUAGGGAAUCUUCCGCAAUGGGCGAAAGCCUGACGGAGCAACGCCGCGUGAGUGAUGAAGGUCUUCGGAUCGUAAAACUCUGUUAUUAGGGAAGAACAAAUGUGUAAGUAACUAUGCACGUCUUGACGGUACCUAAUCAGAAAGCCACGGCUAACUACGUG